CUCCAUAUGCCCCAUGGAAAUUACCUUACAGGCUGACUGUGCCAGAGGUGUUUAACAAAGGCAAGACAUUUAUGUUCCAGAAGCAGGGUUUCCAUUUUGAUCUAGGGCUUUUUCUUUUUUUUUUUUUUUUUUUUUUUUAAAAGGUUAAUUUUAAUAAAAAAUAUGACUUACCGGCAAAGAGGAGGGGGGGGGGGGGGGGGGGGGGGGGGAGGUUCCCUAUUAAAAAGGGCCUUGAGGUAUUCUUCUUCACUCUCUUUUGAAGUCUGCACAAGUUUUCUAGGGUUGGUGCUAACUUCCUGUGCAGAGAGAGGAAGUGAAGAGAGGUGCAGAGAAACUCCGUAGAGGCACCAAUGGGUGGCCAGCAGAGACCGCUUACAGAUCUUCAGCAGAAGAAAUCUUUGCAAUGCAGCAAUAAGAUUGGACUAGAUACAGCUGGGGACUGGCCUCCCUCAAAACCAGGGAAAGUGAAAUGGGAAGGAUUUUGGUAUCUUCCACUGUGACAAAAGGAGGAGGGAAGGUACCUAUGUGAGUGUAAACAGGAGCAACUACAAAUGGAUAAGUAAUGCCUCCAGGAUAUUUCCCAUGCUCACGUAGAUGUUUCUACAGCAACAACAACAUGCAACAUAUGACUUCUGGUCAUUCCUGGUUUACAAAUAAUAAAUGCAAGUGAUAUGUGUUUAAUUCUACGCUAUUGAAAAUGUUUAGGGCUUUCAGGAAAACAAAA